UACGUAGGGGGCUAGCGUUGUCCGGAAUCAUUGGGCGUAAAGAGCGUGUAGGCGGCCCGGUAAGUCCGCUGUGAAAGCCGGGGGCUCAACCCUCGGAUGCCGGUGGAUACUGUCGGGCUCGAGUACGGAAGAGGCGAGUGGAAUUCCUGGUGUAGCGGUGAAAUGCGCAGAUAUCAGGAGGAACACCUAUUGCGAAGGCAGCUCGCUGGGACGUUACUGACGCUGAGACGCGAAAGCGUGGGGAGCAAACAGGAU
rnacentral:rRNA from 1 species